GCUGGACUUGCCUGCCCAGAAGGAUGCUCUGAGUGGCAGCAGGCUGGCUCUUCCCCAGGCUCCCAGGGGACACAGGAGCUCUGAUAAAGCUGCUGCUGAGAAGGAGGCAGCAACUGUUUUCCGCCAGACGGGUUAUCGUGCACCAGGAGAGCAACCUCAGCACCAGAAAGAAUUGGAGCCUCCCUUCUACCAGCCCAGAGUAGGAAAAUGCUCUCGCAGCUCCGGGAGCAAGUGGCCAAGAAUUAAACCUCUCCCUUCAGCUGAAACCCUGGGUCCUGCCCCUGGGAAGCCUGCAAGACCCCCGAAGUUUGAUCUCAGUGCUUUCCGAAGCACCGUGCCUUCGGUCCACAGAGGAAAUGAAACAAAUGCUGACGAAGAGGAUUACUUGACCCCCCAAAGUGCUCAACUUGAAGAGCAGC
rnacentral:lncRNA from 1 species